rnacentral:misc_RNA from 1 species
UGUGGGUGUACACACGCCUCUUUUCCUCUGCCCUCGCUCUCUGCACGGUGAGCGUUGCACCAUAGCACACUAACCCUCCCUGCUCGCCUGCGUUGCCUGGCCAGGCGACGGGCUCUCCAUCAACUGAGCACUUUUGCAGUACUGCCUGGCGGAGUUGAGAAUAGGGGCAUCCAUGGGCAUCAAGGGACGCCGAAAAAAGCUGCGCCAACGUGAGGAGCUGGCACGGCAGCAGCAAGCGCAGGGGUGCGGCAGUCCAGAUGACGACGAAGCUGAGGGCGUCGGCGACAGUCUUGCCAGCGGGGUCGUUGCGAUAAGCGACAGCCCCUUUCGCUCCCCUGUGGAUGCCAUGGGCCAGCUGAAGCUGAAAAAGAGUGACUUUUUCCGAAUGCAAGACAUGGAGGUGCUGGAGCAGAUGCAAGAGGAACAUCAGUGCCGUCGGAAGCAGUCGCAGUUCGGGGCGCUGGUGGCCGGUGGCGGCAGCGCCAGUCGCAAGCGGCGCCGCGGCGCCGCGGAGGACUCCGUGGAGGAUGUCGCGGAGGAAGUGGAGACGAGCUACCUUGGGCACCAAUAUGCGCACGAAGAUCUGUUCGAGGGCCCGAAGGGCGCCAAAUCCGGUCAUCAGUCGACGACGCUAUCCUCCGCAACAGGUGGCGCACCAGGCGACAGAGGUUCAGCUCAGGCAUGCAAGGGAAGAGGCGCAUCUUCGAAGGCUGAAGAGCUCGACAAUCAGGAGGAGGAGCAGGUGGAUCUUAUCGAGCGGCGGCGCAAGGCCGCCCACGGCGCCCUCUUCUCCCAUCCACUGAUCGGCCUCGACCCUGUUGUCGUCGAUGCCCUGCAGAAAAAUGGCUUCCACCGCAUGACCCGCAUCCAGGAGCGCAGCAUCCCGUACGCGCUGGAGGGCUACGACCUUCUCGGUCAGGCGCGUACCGGCUCUGGCAAAACUCUCGCCUUCUGCGUACCGCUUCUCCACCUAGCCAAGAACACGGCCAACAAAUACCCGCACGCCACUGUAGGGCUGCUGCUGGCCCCUACCAAAGAGCUGUGCGUGCAGACGCACUCGGUUCUGUCGAGACUGUGUAAUCACAUUGCAGCCGUGCCGGUCACGGCUGGUGGGGCUCAGUUUCACGUACAGCUCAUUACGGGUGGCACGAAGGUCAGCGAGGAGCGUCGGCGUCUCAUGUCGGGGAUGGCGUCCAUCGUCGUUGGCACACCUGGCCGAAUUCAUGAUCACGUUCUCCAUUGCAAGGGGUGGGACUUGUCGCGACUGCGCCUUCUCGUGCUGGAUGAGGCAGACCGCAUGCUGGCUGACGGCUUCCAGCGCGACCUCGACGCCGUCAUCACACGCAUCCCGAAGGGGCGGCAGACGUUCUUGUUCUCGGCCACCAACUCCAAAUCGGUGCGUGAGCUUGCCCGCCUCUCCCUCUCGCGUCUUCCGCUCUUCCUUAGCACAGCUGGUGAUGCCCCUUCUGUGGUGGAAAUGGGCGACGCUGAGACAUCAGAGGCGAGCACGAGCAUGGCACCCUACCGUGUGUAUAACGACCCCGAUGAAGACGGCAAAGAAGUGGAGGACGAGGAGCAUGGGCGCAAGGACGAGGGCGAUGCUGGUCCCUGCAGCGAGGACUCCGCCGGCGAGGCGGACGCGAUUCCAUCGAAGCUGCGCCAAUUCGGUCACAUUGUGCCGUUGCAAGACCGCUUGCGCGCGCUGUACACCUUUGUGAAGCAGGUCGCGCGCCGUGCCAAGGCAAUGGUCUUCUGCUCCACAGUUGCGAGUGCCAUCUUUCACUGCCAGAUGAUGGGCUCCGUUGGGUUCCACGAUGACGUCGUGAUGCUGCACGGCCACAUGAAGCACCGCCAGCGUGUGCAGACGUUUCAAUUGUUCACCGAGUGGAAGACAGGGGUGCUAUUCUGCACCGAUGUCGCAGCGCGUGGACUGGACAUCCCUCACGUGUCGUGGAUUCUCCAGUACGACCCGCCUUUGGAUCCGACGGAGUAUAUCCACCGCAUCGGACGCACGGCGCGCGCCGGCACUGUGGGUAACUCGCUUCUCUUUCUCACGCCGGAAGAGGCGCCGUUUGUGCGCUACCUCGCCAACUACGGCAUCCGCAUGGAGAAGUAUCCCAUGCCAGAGAAACUUCCACGCAUCCAGGAAAAGCUGGAGCACGUGCUGCAGCUGGACGAGGUGGUCGCCAAGAGCGCUGUGACGGCGUUCCGCGCACACGUUGGUGCCUAUCAGAGCCAUAUCCUAAAGGAAACCUUCGAUGUGCACCGGCUGGACCUCGAAGCGUUGUCCAAGGCAUUCGCGCUGACUUCGGUGCCGCAUGUGACGCUGCCUCGCAACACGGAGGAGGAGAAGCGGAAGGAGUACAUCAAAGGUCGGCUCAAGUCGCUGAACCGGCGCCGCUUGGACGCGCUGCGCCACUACGAGGCCAACAAGACGCGUCCACAAUGGGAAAACGGGACUUUCGUUGGUGUCUCACGUCCUUUCAUGAACUGAGCGAUUCGUGUGUGCGUGUGUGUGCAUUAACGACGCAUAUGCUUCCUUUUUCCUAAUGUGGCUCGCUUCGCCUUUGUGUCUGUUGUUGUUUCGGAUUGCUGAGCCUUCCGUUCAGGAGGCUGGUACGAGUAAAACACGCCUGGACGGAACUUGUCGCCACAUCUCCAUCACACACACACACAGACCUCCUCCAUCUCUAGUGAGCAACGUGAAGGGAACGAAGGAUAGCACGGGUAGUGAUGUAGGCGAAACUCUGCGCCUCUCUCUCCCUCGCAUCCGCAACCCUCUCCCCGCUUCUCUCAGUCGCUGGUGUGCCUAUUCACACACACUGCAUGACACGCACAGAUGCACAACAUGGCUGUCGCACAGUCUUCCUCCAUGCCUGUUAGUUAAUAGUGGACGGAAGGGGAGAGGGGGGCGCAGUGCAUCACAUGACACAUCGCCGCAGUGCAGACACACGUGCGCACUGUUGCACAAAGGGCGCGGGCAGCUUCUGCAUCGAAAGCAAAGAAGAAGCACCGGAGCGGCGCCGACUCGGCGAUGCAUACAAGUCUCGCUAUGUGUGCAUGUCUUCUGUGCAUCCCCACAUGGGCCAUGCUCGCACCACGAUUAACGCACUGUACUCCGAAUCUCGUUGACUUACAUCUGCCCCUACAUCCCCUCUGGCCACCUCC